GAUGAACGCUGGCGGCGUGCCUAAUACAUGCAAGUCGAGCGAACGGACGCGAAGCUUGCUUUUCUGAUGUUAGCGGCGGACGGGUGAGUAACACGUGGAUAACCUACCUAUAAGACUGGGAUAACUUCGGGAAACCGGCGCUAAUACCGGAUAAUAUUUUGAACCGCAGGGUUCAAAAGUGAAAGACGGUCUUGCUGUCACUUAUAGAUGGAUCCGCGCUGCAUUAGCUAGUUGGUAAGGUAACGGCUUACCAAGGCAACGAUGCAUAGCCGACCUGAGAGAGUGAUCGGCCACACUGGAACUGAGACACGGUCCAGACUCCUACGGGAGGCAGCAGUAGGGAAUCUUCCGCAAUGGGCGAAAGCCUGACGGAGCAACGCCGCGUGAGUGAUGAAGGUCUUCGGAUCGUAAAACUCUGUUAUUAGGGAAGAACAUAUGUGUAAGUAACUGUGCACAUCUUGACGGUACCUAAUCAGAAAGCCACGGCUAACUACGUG
rnacentral:rRNA from 1 species